GCAUUGGUGGUUCAGUGGUAAAAUUCUCACCUGCCAUGCGGGAGACCCGGGUCCGAUUCCCGGCCAAUGCA
rnacentral:tRNA from 1 species